GAGCUUUUAAUUUAAUGGUAGAAUGGUUUCUUGAUGAGGAACUAGUAGGAGUUCAAAUCUUCUAAGGCUUA
rnacentral:tRNA from 1 species